rnacentral:rRNA from 1 species
GAUGAACGCUAGCGGCAGGCUUAACACAUGCAAGUCGAGGGGCAGCAUAAUGGAUAGCAAUAUCUAUGGUGGCGACCGGCGCACGGGUGCGUAACGCGUAUGCAACCUACCUUUAACAGGGGGAUAACACUGAGAAAUUGGUACUAAUACCCCAUAAUAUCAUAGAAGGCAUCUUUUAUGGUUGAAAAUUCCGAUGGUUAGAGAUGGGCAUGCGUUGUAUUAGCUAGUUGGUGGGGUAACGGCUCACCAAGGCGACGAUACAUAGGGGGACUGAGAGGUUAACCCCCCACACUGGUACUGAGACACGGACCAGACUCCUACGGGAUGCAGCAGUGAGGAAUAUUGGUCAAUGGACGCAAGUCUGAACCAGCCAUGCCGCGUGCAGGAUGACGGCUCUAUGAGUUGUAAACUGCUUUUGUACGAGGGUAAACGCAGAUACGUGUAUCUGUCUGAAAGUAUCGUACGAAUAAGGAUCGGCUAACUCCGUG